rnacentral:lncRNA from 1 species
UCAUUUCGACUGUGACUACAACUGUUCCGAUUUCAAGACCUAGUACAAAAGGUAUUGUAAUUGGGAAUGUUGUUUCUUCGAAUGUUUCUUCAUCAAAAAGUGCAGCUCCUUCGAAUGUGAAAGACAAAGGAAAAGGAGUCAUGAUUGAGAAGACUAACAAAGAAAUAAAAGCUGAGGUGGCAGCAGAAGUUGAAAGGAUGAGGCAUGUGGAAAGCAUUAUGCGACAAAGAGCUCUCGAAGGUUCAAAUGUUGAUAAAGGAGAUCCUUCGAAACUGUUCAACUAUGAAACUAUUGAGUCAAGGG